UCCGUGUUGACCACGGCAGUCUCCUACGAGUCCCCGGCUUUACCCGCUGGCAACAUAGGACAAGGGUUGCGCUCGUUGCGGGACUUAACCCGACAUCUCACGACACGAGCUGACGACAACCAUGCACCACCUGUGUAGGGCCCCGAAGGACACCGUAUCUCUACGGCUUUUCCCUACAUGUCAAGCCCAGGUAAGGUUCUUCGCGUUGCAUCGAAUUAAGCAACAUGCUCCGCCGCUUGUGCGGGCCCCCGUCAAUUCCUUUGAGUUUUAGCCUUGCGGCCGUACUCCCCAGGCGGGGCACUUAAUGCGUUAGCUACGGCACGGAGUCCGUCGAUAAGACCCCACA
rnacentral:misc_RNA from 1 species